rnacentral:rRNA from 1 species
UUGGUGAACCAGCGGAGGGAUCAUUACCGAGUUUACAACUCCCAAACCCAAUGUGAACGUUACCAAACUGUUGCCUCGGCGGGGUCACGCCCCGGGUGCGUCGCAGCCCCGGAACCAGGCGCCCGCCGGAGGAACCAACCAAACUCUUUCUGUAGUCCCCUCGCGGACGUAUUUCUUUACAGCUCUGAGCAAAAAUUCAAAAUGAAUCAAAACUUUCAACAACGGAUCUCUUGGUUCUGGCAUCGAUGAAGAACGCAGCGAAAUGCGAUAAGUAAUGUGAAUUGCAGAAUUCAGUGAAUCAUCGAAUCUUUGAACGCACAUUGCGCCCGCCAGUAUUCUGGCGGGCAUGCCUGUCCGAGCGUCAUUUCAACCCUCGAACCCCUCCGGGGGAUCGGCGUUGGGGAUCGGGACCCCUCACACGGGUGCCGGCCCCUAAAUACAGUGGCGGUCUCGCCGCAGCCUCUCCUGCGCAGUAGUUUGCACAACUCGCACCGGGAGCGCGGCGCGUCCACGUCCGUAAAACACCCAACUUUCUGAAAUGUUGACCUCGGAUCAGGUAGGAAUACCCGCUGAACUUAAGCAUAUCAAUA